UCAGAAUAACUUCUGAAUAGUACUCUUGAGUAAUUUAGUCAGGAUGUCAGCUAGUAUCUGUAGUUCCGUCUAAGUUUUCCAGCAUCUCUAUACAGAUUCAGCAGAAACAAAUGAUUUUGAUUACCAGAAAAUUUCAGUCUUCCCUUCCAGAAAGAUCCACAGAUGUAAACAAUAAUCCCAAUAAUCCUUGAUGUUCUGCAAAGUUACAAGAAACUGAAACACUGAUCUUAAGGAAAACUAACAGCACAAUAAACAACUUUGUUAAAGCAGACAACUAUGCCUUGGGAAAAUUGCCUAAGGCAGAACAUUCCAGAAGUUGGGAACACCACUGAAAGACCCUCUUCCCAGUCAGCACCACCUCAACCCUGAGGAUAUGGACACCCAAAGAAGGACCUUUGUUGCAGUUCUUCAUACUCAGGCAGGUUCAUAUGGGAGAAAGUGGUCCUUUAAAUAUCCAGGCCCCAAGUUGGAAUGUAUAUUCAUUAUACUUGGGUGCAGCUCAUUGUUUAUGCAACAUAGGCUACUGCAUAAAUUAUCAUGAGCACAUGCUUGUUUCAAAUGAAACUUUUUAAAAAAUAUGGACUACAGUGUGAUGUAGCAUUCCUGGCAACUAUGAUUCCAAAUGGAGGAAAAAGGUGUAAUGUUGAAUCCAAAAGCAACCAAGUCUGCAUACCUUGGUGACCAGAUCAGAAAACAAAUAUCAGCAAUGUGGAAAGGAGGUAGCAAUUCCAAAGGGCAAUGUAACUAGCUGAGGCAAUAUAUAUUGUAGGCAUAUACUACCCCCUGGUGGCAAGAAAUAUUUAGCCAUGAUGGACAGAUACUCUUGACUAAUGCUGAACCAACAUGGGGAGAAAAAAAAGUACUCCAGUGAUGCCAAAAAUGUCAACUUGUUUUUCAGUUGCUUAGAAAUGAAGGCUUUCAGAUAUUCUGAUAUACUGAAAAGUGCUAAAACAGGAGGGACUUUUGAAGCUCCUUUCAUGCUUAAUAAAGAUCAAAUGUCUA